rnacentral:pre_miRNA from 14 species
UCUCAGUGUUGAGGGGUGGUCAUAAAUCUCGGACGAGCCCCCAAAUGAAAGACCCUCAGACAGAGGAGACUCUCGCUCCAGUCCUGAGGACACUCAUCACCCCACCAACACACGGGACUCA